AUUGAACGCUGGCGGCAGGCCUAACACAUGCAAGUCGAACGCGUGGCGGACGGGUGAGUAAUGUCUGGGAAACUGCCUGAUGGAGGGGGAUAACUACUGGAAACGGUAGCUAAUACCGCAUACCCUCAGAUGUGCCCAGAUGGGAUUAGCUAGUUGGUGGGGUAACGGGUCACCAAGGCGAAGAUCCCUAGCUGGUCUGAGAUGAUGACCAGCCGCACGGGAGCGGAGACACGGUCGAAACUCCUAUGAGAGGCGGGAGGUGGGAAUAUUGCGCAGUGGGCGCAAGCCUGAUGCAGCCAUGCCGGGUGUAUGAAGAAGGCCGUCGGGUUGUAAAGUACUUUCAGCGGGGAGGCGUUACCCUCAGAAGAAGCACCGGCUGACGCCGUGCCAGCAGCCGCGGUAAUUC
rnacentral:rRNA from 1 species